GCGGAUGUAGCUCAGUUGGCUAGAGCAUCUGCUUGCCAUGCAGAAGGUCACGGGUUCGAGUCCCGUUAUCCGCUCCA
rnacentral:tRNA from 1 species